rnacentral:rRNA from 1 species
ACCCUCCUAACAGCUAGCCCCCUCCCAAAAACAACAAACAACAUUAAUAAGCCCUCACAAACCAUUCAAACAAUCAACAAACCAUUUUUCCCCCCUAGUAUGGGCGACAGAAAAG